rnacentral:rRNA from 1 species
AAACUCAAAUGAAUUGACGGGGACCCGCACAAGCAGCGGAGCGUGUGGUUUAAUUCGUUGCUACACGAAGAACCUUACUGGGUUUGACAUAUAGGUUGUAGGAAACUGAAAGGGACCGACCCUUCGGGAGCCUAUACAGGUGUUGCAUGGCUGUCGUCAGCUCGUGUCGUGAGAUGUUCGGUUAAGUCCGCUAACGAGCGCAACCCUCGUCGUAUGUUAUAUGUGUCAUACGAGACUGCCGGUAAAAAGCCGGAGGAAGGUGAGGAUGAUGUCAAGUCAGCAUGACCUUUAUAUCCAGGGCUACACACACGCUACAAUGGUCUGUACAAUGGGUAGCCAAGCCGCGAGGCGGAGCCAAUCCAGCAAAACUUCCCUCAGUUCAGAUUGCAGGCUGCAACCCGCCUGCAUGAAGUUGGAGUUGCUAGUAAACGCAGGUCAGCCAUACUGCGUUGAAUACGUUCCCGGGGCUU